UCAUAUUAAUUCAUCUUUCGUAUAGUUUGAUUCCACAAAAACCAAAGCAGCUCUUUCAACAUGUGUAGUUAAAAUUUCCUCCGGCAAAUACGUGUACCACUUCAAAUUAGGAAAAAAAUUAUUUACAAGGUUUUCAGUGAUCUCUGUUCUCUCCUGCUUCUGUUCAGCUUCAAAUCAAAGUGCUUUCCCUUUAGAAGACGAUCAACUGACAUAUCAUCACAAUAACUUGCACGAAAUAAAAAGUUGGGGCUCACACAGCAGAAGAUUGAACCAACUUCGACACACCCACCUGCCAACAUGCAUCAAUCAACAAACAACGGAGUACAUUUGAUCUCUUACGCGUAUUAUAUGGUAAAAUAUCAUUAUUUGUAGGGAUUGAUUGUUAUGGUGAAUGGGUCGAGAAGAAAAAUCGAUUCAUAUGGUGAUGGGAGGAUAGUAAAAAAUGAGGAGCGGGUUCAAUAGGGAUGUAUGUUGAAAGAAACAUUUUGUAUGAUGAGUUCUUUAAUUUCAAGUCUGGAUACAAUUGUAAACAGCAAGAUCUUGUCAUGAGUGUUUGAUCCGAAAUAGGAAAAACAUUUGUUUUUGGA